rnacentral:rRNA from 1 species
GACGAACGCUGGCGGCGUGCUUAACACAUGCAAGUCGAACGGAAAGGCCUGCUUUCCCUUGUGGAUUGCGGGUACUCGCGUGGCGAACGGGUGAGUACCACGUGAGUGAUCUGCCCCCAACUUGGGUAUAAGCCUGGGAAACUGGGUCUAAUUCCCGAUAGGACCGCAGGGUGGUGCCUGUGGUGGAAAACGAUUUUCUAGUGGUUGGGGAUGAGCUCGGGGCCUAUCAGCUUGUUGGUGGGGUAAUGGCCUACCAAGGCGGCAACGGGUAGCCGGCCUGGGAGGGCGGCCGGCGACAGUGGGACGGAGAUACGGCCCAGACUCCGACGGGAGGCAGCAGUGGGGAAUAUUGCACGAUGGGCGGAAGCCUGAGGCAGCGGCGCCGCGUGGGGGAUGACGGCCUUCGAGUUGGAAACUCCUUUCGACCGCGAGGAAGCCACCUGGUGGGAAGGGUGGUGACGGUAGUGGUAGAAGAAGCACCGGCUAACUACGU